UACGUAGGGUGCAAGCGUUGUCCGGAAUUAUUGGGCGUAAAGAGCUCGUAGGCGGUCUGUCACGUCGGAUGUGAAAACCCGGGGCUCAACCCCGAGCCUGCAUUCGAUACGGGCAGACUUGAGUUCGGCAGGGGAGACUGGAAUUCCUGGUGUAGCGGUGAAAUGCGCAGAUAUCAGGAGGAACACCGGUGGCGAAGGCGGGUCUCUGGGCCGAUACUGACGCUGAGGAGCGAAAGCGUGGGGAGCGAACAGG
rnacentral:rRNA from 1 species